rnacentral:lncRNA from 1 species
CGCGCGGGGCUCCGACGGGGGCGGCGGCCGCGCGGCCGGUAUAUGCUCCGAGGGUGGCUAGCUGCCCCGUGGAAGAAGCUACAAGAUAUCAACGAGCCGCUGUAAUAAAGCAGAAGUAUUUGACACUGAGAGUGUAGAGCUAUAUAGUUUCUUUUUUAUUAUGAAUGGGGUGGUGGGUAUGGGGCAGGACAGGAGGGACACACUGAAGUUCAAAAGCGAGAUGUACUAACGUACUGCUUUGGAGUUUAAGAAGCUGAAGGCAAUGAUGAAGCUCAAGAGGAGGAGAAGCUAGUGUGAUCAGUCUGCCUGCCUCUGUGAUCCCCCGCAGCACUGGCUGGAAGUCCGCCGCGUGUCAGUGAGGAGCUGCUGCAGAAGGAAGAAGAAGAAGCAGCGUGGGGACCUGGGAGGCAGGAGCAAGCAAGAAGAGGAAGCGGAAGCGUGCAGAUGCGGGGGGGAAGGAGCGUGGCCCCCUGUAACGGAGGGCGAGAGCCACCUCUCCGCACCUGAGUGGGAAAUGGAGCUCGCCGGACCCCAAGGCCACCCUGUAAGCAGGGUAGUGCCGUUUCCCUGCCCCUCUUCCUCCCCCGGCCCCUCGGCAUCGUUGCCUGAUGGUGGCUUGUCAAUGCGACGGCCCCGUACUCGGGGUGUGCGUCACGGCAUUUGGCCGUUGGCUUUACCUGAGAAGCCCCUUGGCACGUUGAGGUCUGUGGCCUCCGUGCAGCCUAGGGACAGGUCACAGGCUCUUGUCUGUUGCCCGUGGUUGUGGGUUUAUUCCCAGGUGUUGGCUGUGCUGCGUUGUCCUUCCCUUCUGGAAAGUCGUGCCUGUGUGUGCGUGUUCCCCUUCCUUUCCUUGAUUGUGUUUGUGGAGUGGUUGAGCGGCUGUGCUUUCCCUUUAGGCCUCCACAAAGAUGGCUGCAGCUUAGCUUUGACUUCCCAGGGGGGAAUGGAGGACUUUGGUGCAUGCCGCAAAAGGGGUGUUCCCUCUUAGUCCUGCGAGCGCAGCGAGUGUCCUGUCUUCCUACUAUUUUCCUUAGUGCAGAUCAGAGCCACACGGUAGUUCUGUGGCCAAGGCCUCCCUGUAGCCAGGGCUUGGGCCUGUCCUUGCGUGGCCGCCUGUCCUGCUGGCGGCGGUGACAGCCCCGUACUCGGGGUGUGUGUCCCAAGCUUCGGAGCCCUCUGUCCCUGAGCAGCCCGCCCGCCCUGUAAUCAGGUGUGGGGAGGCUGCAGCGUUGCAGCCGGCUGCUUUAGCCAUCCAGCUGGUGGGAGUGACCCCUCCCUGUCCCGUCAGAGGGUGCAGGUUGAGGUGCUGUUUGUGUGUGGGGUGACCUCCCCGCUCGGUGGGUCGAGGUAGCUCCCUGGGCUUCCAAAGACGAGACGUUGGUGAUGUUCUGGUGCUGCCGGGCGGGCCAGCCUGUAACUCAGGCGUUGGCGGGAGCCUCGUGCUCCGCGGGGCUUCUUGAAGAGGGUGAGGUGUGGGGGUACCGUCCUGUAGGCAGGGCUGUGUGUGCCCCCCGUGUGUGCUUGGUGAGCUGCGUUCUGAGAGACCCCCUGUACUCAGGUGGGAAUGUGGCCCCGGCCUUUCAGAGGCGCGGGGCCGUGAGAUGCGGGGUGGGGCUUGCGCCCUCCCUGGAAUCGGGGCUGGGAUCCCGACUGCGGCCUUUGGCCGUGCCGCCCCGCUGCCUGGCUGCUGAGAGUUGCUCCUGCCGCUGGGGGGGAAACCGAGCUCUGUGGCUCCAGGGGUGUUGUCCACCCGCCUGUAAUCAGGGUCUGGGUGCGUGAGCGUUUGUGCUCUGCUGGCAGCCUGUGUGGGGUGACCGCCCCGCUAGCGGGGUGUGGGUCGAGGUGCCCCGGACUGGGAGAGAAGGAGCCUCCCUCGGCCGUAGGGAUGGGGGCUGCCCUGUAAGUCAGGGAGCAUCUGUGUCCCGGAGUCCCAGGCCCUUUUCGAUGGCGGCAGUGGCCGGGGGUCCCCUGUAAGCAGGGAAGCUGACUCUUUGGCUGCUGCUUUUUGUGUGCCCAGCCCCAUUUGCCCAGUCUGCCCGCCUCUGUGAUCCCCCGCAGCACUGGC